GUCCUAUGGGAUGCAGCAGUGGGGAAUAUUGCACAAUGGGGGAAACCCUGAUGCAGCGACGCCGCGUGAGCGAUGAAGGCUUUCGAGUCGUAAAGCUCUGUCCUAUGGGAAGAUAAUGACGGUACCAUAGAAGAAAGCCCCGGCUAAUUACGUGCCAGCAGCCGCGGUAAUACGUAAGGGGCGAGCGUUGUCCGGAAUUAUUGGGCGUAAAGAGUGCGUAGGCGGCAAAUUAAGUCAGAUGUGAAAACUAAGGGCUCAACCCAUAGAUUGCAUCUGAAACUGAUAUGCUUGAGUCAAGGAGAGGAAAGUGGAAUUCCUAGUGUAGCGGUGGAAUGCGUAGAUAUUAGGAGGAAUACCGGUGGCGAAGGCGACUUUCUGGACUUGAACUGACGCUGAGGCACGAAAGCGUGGGGAGCAAA
rnacentral:rRNA from 1 species